rnacentral:rRNA from 1 species
AGAGUUUGAUCCUGGCUCAGAGCGAACGCUGGCGGCAUGCUUAACACAUGCAAGUCUCACGGGCAGCAAUGUCAGUGGCGGACGGGUGAGUAACGCGUAGGUAUCUAUCUCUGGGUGGGGGACAACUGUGGGAAACUACAGCUAAUACCGCAUGAUAACUGAGGUUUAAAGGCGCAAGUCGCCUGGAGAGGAGCCUGCGUACGAUUAGCUAGUUGGUGGGGUAAAGGCCUACCAAGGCGACGAUCGUUAGCUGGUCUGAGAGGAUGAUCAGCCACAUUGGGACUGAGACACGGCCCAAACUCCUACGGGAGGCAGCAGUGGGGAAUAUUGGACAAUGGGCGCAAGCCUGAUCCAGCAAUGCCGCGUGUGUGAAGAAGGUCUUCGGAUUGUAAGGCACUUUCGACGGGGACGA